CACGUAGGGUGCGAGCGUUGUCCGGAUUUAUUGGGCGUAAAGAGCGUGUAGGCGGUCAGGUAGGUCCGUUGUGAAAACUCGAGGCUCAACCUCGAGACGCCGAUGGAAACCAUCUGACUAGAGUCCGGAAGAGGAGAGUGGAAUUCCUGGUGUAGCGGUGAAAUGCGUAGAUAUCAGGAGGAACACCUGCGGUGUAGACGGCUUACUGGACCAUAACUGACGCUGAGGCACGAAAGCGUGGGUAGCAAACAGG
rnacentral:rRNA from 1 species